AUAUCUCAGAAACACAAAUGAGCUGAUUGAACCAGUUAACCUGGUUCUGCAUUGGCAAUUUUUAAGGAUAGCAGCAUCCUUUUGUCGUACUCAGAGCUGAAAUAAAUCAAAUUGAUCUUGGGGAGCUCUGCGUGUGUAUAUACAGAGUACGGAGGACGCUGUCAAAAGUGACUAACAUCUCACGCGAAGAAUUUUAAGAUAGAAUUAGCUAGGGGUUAAGAAUCAGAAAAGAGAGGUGGAUUAGAAAACUCAGUAGAGGAUUAGAGAUUAGAUUAGAGUAGAGUAUUAGUUAGAGAGUAAAGAAUUUGAGAAACAUAGAGAACACCCCCCUAGAAGCACACAGUUAAGAGAGAAAAGAAUACUGGAGAGUGCGGCUUUAAACGAGGCUCAAAAUUGAACGUAUCAAAUGAGCACUUUCCAACUUUGAAUCCUGUGAUGAUGGUGAGUGAACCACACUGAAAGUUUUUACCAGUCUAAAAAUUUGAACCCCGUUCAACUGUACGCCCGAUGAUGGUCUGCUUAGGCUGGCAUGGUACCAGAAGCAGUC
rnacentral:sRNA from 1 species